CCUUCACCACCAAAUUUCUCUCCUUAAAGACACCGAGAAAGUGCCGUUUAAUUUCAUUAUACCAAGAUAGAUGAUGGAACCUUGUAGAGAAAUAGAUGCCAGUAAUUUCUCUAAAGGUGGCCGCUCUAUGCCAAAGAAAGAAAGGGAUUGAUGUUUCUCUUCCCUUCUCUAAAUAGCACAAGAACUCUAACUCACAUUGGAGGCUAAGUGGUGUUUUUUAUAGCACAUGAGAAAAUUAAAAAUACAUAUUUAUCCUUAAUAGUUAUUUAUAUGUGUUUAUUAGUUUACUAUUUUUUUUACUAUUAUUGUUUAGUUUUAAAAAAAUGAGUUUUGAAAGAAAACAGGAGGUGUUAUGCCUCCAUUUGUUACAAAUUCCUUCUCAUUCAAUUUGACGAGUGGGCGUUCGGUUAUUUCCACAUGUUGGCAUGCUCUUUGUACUAGCAAGAAUGAAGUGUUCACAUUUCAUUUUCUUAAAGCUUGUGGUUGAUUUAAGAGAGUAGUAAAAAAGCUUGUGCAAGUUUAGGAAGCUAUUGGUGGUGGCUAUGGAAGCUGGUGGUGGUGGCUAUGGAAGCUGGUGGUGGCAAUCUAGGUACAAACUUCAUGAUUAUAGGGAUAAGAAGAGUGAUUAAGAGUGAGUAGAUUAAAAGACAAAAAAUACAAAGCAGCCCAAAACGGAUCUCAAACAGAAAUACAAAAGAGAGACCCAAAAAAAGUUUAACAAAGGAAGA
rnacentral:lncRNA from 1 species